UCCCAGAUGGCUCAGUGGUAAAGAAUCUGCCUGCAAUGCAGGAGAUGAGGGUUUAAUCCCUCGACUGGGAA
rnacentral:tRNA from 1 species